GGUAGUCCACGCCGUAAACGAUGUCGACUUGGAGGUUGUGCCCUUGAGGCGUGGCUUCCGGAGCUAACGCGUUAAGUCGACCGCCUGGGGAGUACGGCCGCAAGGUUAAAACUCAAAUGAAUUGACGGGGGCCCGCACAAGCGGUGGAGCAUGUGGUUUAAUUCGAUGCAACGCGAAGAACCUUACCUACUCUUGACAUCCAGAGAACUUAGCAGAGAUGCUUUGGUGCCUUCGGGAACUCUGAGACAGGUGCUGCAUGGCUGUCGUCAGCUCGUGUUGUGAAAUGUUGGGUUAAGUCCCGCAACGAGCGCAACCCUUAUCCUUUGUUGCCAGCGGUUAGGCCGGGAACUCAAAGGAGACUGUCAGUGAUAAACUGGAGGAAGGUGGGGAUGACGUCAAGUCAUCAUGGCCCUUACGAGUAGGGCUACACACGUGCUACAAUGGCGCAUACAAAGAGAAGCGACCUCGCGAGAGCAAGCGGACCUCAUAAAGUGCGUCGUAGUCCGGAUUGGAGUCUGCAACUCGACUCCAUGAAGUCGGAAUCGCUAGUAAUCGUAGAUCAGAAUGCUACGGUGAAUACGUUCCCGGGCCUUGUACACACCGCCCGUCACACCAUGGGAGUGGGUUGCAAAAGAAGUAGGUAGCUUAACCUUCGGGAGGGCGCUUACCACUUUGUGAUUCAUGACUGGGGUGAAGUCGUAACAAGGUAACCGUAGGGGAACCCUGC
rnacentral:rRNA from 1 species